rnacentral:hammerhead_ribozyme from 1 species
AUCCAUCUGACGAGUCCCAAAUAGGACGAAACGCGAGUCAAACUGGAU